GCGGAGCCUGGUAACAUCGGCUUGAAAGUCGAGCGAUGGCCAGUAAAGUGGUUGGACUGUGGUUUGGGAUUCUUCUUGGGUGGGUUGCCACGUUUCUAACGCUGCGACUUCUCCAAGCCAGGAGUUGGUCAGAUUUGCCUUGCAGAAAGGCCUAAGGGCUUGGUAGACUGGAUCUUAUCGUGGAGGGUUUAUCUAGUCGAACGGCUUGGUGGACUGGAUCCUUUUGAGGAGGGAAACGAGUGAUCUGCUUCACCGAGCAACGACUUCCCCUGGGUAGUGGAAGGAUAACGCAUAGGGUCAUGGAUUUUCCCAAUCAAACCCUUUGAGUUUCAUUUCUACAUGGACGACCAAUUUU
rnacentral:SRP_RNA from 1 species